UACAGAGGGGGCAAGCGUUAUUCGGAAUUAUUGGGCGUAAAGGGCGCGUAGGCGGCUUGGCAAGUGGAUGGUGAAAUCCCUCGGCUUAACCGAGGAACUGCCGUCCAAACUGCUUCGCUUGAGACCGGGAGAGGUGAGUGGAAUUCCCAGUGUAGCGGUGAAAUGCGUAGAUAUUGGGAGGAACACCAGUGGCGAAGGCGGCACUCUGGGACGGUACUGACGCUGAGACGCGAAAGCGUGGGGAGCGAACAGG
rnacentral:rRNA from 1 species